rnacentral:rRNA from 1 species
GAUGAACGCUGGCGGCGUGCCUAAUACAUGCAAGUCGAGCGAACAGACGAGAGUGCUUGCACUCUCUGACGUUAGCGGCGGACGGGUGAGUAACACGUGGGUAACCUACCUAUAAGACUGGGAUAACUUCGGGAAACCGGAGCUAAUACCGGAUAAUAUUUAGCUUCGCAUGAAGCAAUAGUGAAAGACGGUUCUGCUGUCACUUAUAGAUGGACCCGCGGUGUAUUAGCUAGUUGGUGAGGUAACGGCUCACCAAGGCAACGAUACAUAGCCGACCUGAGAGGGUGAUCGGCCACACUGGGACUGAGACACGGCCCAGACUCCUACGGGAGGCAGCAGUAGGGAAUCUUCCGCAAUGGACGAAAGUCUGACGGAGCAAUGCCGCGUGAGUGAAGAAGGUUUUCGGAUCGUAAAACUCUGUUGUAAGGGAAGAACAAGUACGUUAGUAACUGAACGUACCUUGACGGUACCUUACCAGGAGGCCACGGCUAACUACGUG